rnacentral:rRNA from 1 species
GACAGAGGGGUGCAAACGUUGCUCGGAAUUACUGGGCGUAAAGCGCGUGUAGGUGGGUCACGCGAAGUCAGGUGUGAAAGCCCAGGGCUCAACCCUGGAAGUGCACAUGAUACUACGUGGCUGGAGUACUGAAGAGGAGAGCGGAAUUCCCGGUGUAGAGGUGAAAUUCGUAGAUAUCGGGAGGAACACCAGUGGCGAAGGCGGCUCUCUGGGCCGAUACGUGACGCUGAGGAGCGAAAGCGUGGGGAGCGAACAGG